AAUAUUCAGAAAUUCGUAUAUUAUAUUUAGACAAUUCUGGUAUAUAUACAAUUGAGAAGGGUGCUUUCCUAAAUUUAACAAAGUUAUUCUGGCUAGCUUUGGAUCAC